UCCGAGUUGACCCCGGCAGUCUCCUGCGAGUCCCCGCCAUUACGCGCUGGCAACACAGGACAAGGGUUGCGCUCGUUGCGGGACUUAACCCAACAUCUCUGGCGACCAUACGAGGCAUGUCAAAGGCUGGUAAGGUUCUUCGUGUUGCUUCGAAUUGAACCACAUGCUCCACCGCUUGUGCGGGCCCCCGUCAAUUCCUUUGAGUUUUAAUCUUGCGACCGUACUCCCCAGGCGGGAUGCUUAAUGCGUUAGCUGCGCCACUGACGAGUAAACCCGCCAACGGCUAGCAUCCAUCGUUUACGGCGUGGACUAC
rnacentral:misc_RNA from 1 species